rnacentral:rRNA from 1 species
GGUGACCAGCGGAGGGUCAUUACCGAGUUUACAACUCCCAAACCCCUGUGAACAUACCAUUUGUUGCCUCGGCGGUGCCUGCUUCGGCAGCCCGCCAGAGGACCCAAACCCUUGAUUUUAUACAGUAUCUUCUGAGUAAAUGAUUAAAUAAAUCAAAACUUUCAACAACGGAUCUCUUGGUUCUGGCAUCGAUGAAGAACGCAGCGAAAUGCGAUAAGUAAUGUGAAUUGCAGAAUUCAGUGAAUCAUCGAAUCUUUGAACGCACAUUGCGCCCGCCAGUAUUCUGGCGGGCAUGCCUGUUCGAGCGUCAUUUCAACCCUCAAGCCCCCGGGCUUGGUGUUGGAGAUCGGCGUGCCCCCCCGGGGCGCGCCGGCUCCCAAAUAUAGUGGCGGUCUCGCUGUAGCUUCCUCUGCGUAGUAGCACACCUCGCACUGGAAAACAGCGUGGCCACGCCGUUAAACCCCCCACUUCUGAAAGGUUGACCUCGGAUCAGGUAGGAAUACCCGCUGAACUUAAGCAUAUCAAUAAGCGGAGGAA